CGCGUAGGCGGCCUCGUAAGUCCCGUGUGAAAGCCCCCGGCUCAACUGGGGAAUUGCACGGGAAACUGCGGGGCUUGAGUUCGGGAGAGGGAAGCGGAAUUCCGGGUGUAGCGGUGAAAUGCGUAGAUAUCCGGAGGAACACCAGUGGCGAAGGCGGCUUCCUGGACCGACACUGACGCUGAGGCGCGAAAGCUAGGGGAGCAAACG
rnacentral:rRNA from 1 species